rnacentral:lncRNA from 1 species
UUUCCGAAUGAGUCUUCGUUCUCCAAUUUGAAUUUCUUCUCAAAAACCUCUGUGAUCAACUCUUCAAGACUCCAAACCAUAAUACGAAAUUCGCCAACCUAUAAAAUCCUUAACAGUCCCGGAUGCAACAAGGAUACUAGUGAGAUGCCAUGCAACUCGGCAAACAGUCGGUCUAUAAACGAAUGCGAUGCACCGGUAUCAAACAAAGCUCUAGCUCGAAUACCAUAAAGUAAAAUGAUACCUGCGACCACGUUCUCGGCUGCUGCC